CGAGCGUCACUCUUGUUACUGGCAGCAGUAGCGAGCCUCCAGGCCCCAUCAUGGCGUGGUGCCCUGGGGACGCCGGUGAGACGGUCCUCCGUGGAUGGGGUUCUUUGGGGUUGUGCCCGCGACCACCCUGAGGCUCGAAAUUGGCAAGAAGCCGAAUCGAGUACAUUUCAUGCGGUCUUGGAAACCGGAAUGUGUGGAAACCCUUUAAGUCCAUGAGUUAAAUGAACAAAGAAACAAAAAGCAGAAAUCAGCUGCUGCCUGAGCAUUUUUGUGGACCCCUAAAGUGACUGAGGGCUGUGAUCCCUUUUCAGACAUUGGCUCUCCAAAGAAGUUGCUUAAUCUUAGAUUUUAUGUUCCUGUUGAAUUCCACAAGUAAUCUAAGGUCUUCGUGGAAGAAAAGCUAUUAAAAGGCUUUGGACUUGCAUGAUAAAUGGUGGUUUUGGAUUAUUGAGCUCUUCACGAGGGGCACAGUUGGCAUCUGUAAUUUUAUCUCUUGUUUGGUAUGGAUUCUGUAUAUUUAAAAAAUAUGUAAAAUAAAGCUUGUCUUCAUGCCCUUUU